rnacentral:rRNA from 1 species
AUACGUAGGGGGCGAGCGUUGUCCGGAAUGAUUGGGCGUAAAGGGCGCGUAGGCGGCCCGGUAAGUCUGGAGUGAAAGUCCUGUUUUUAAGAUGGGAAUUGCUUUGGAUACUGUCGGGCUUGAGUGCAGGAGAGGUAAGUGGAAUUCCCAGUGUAGCGGUGAAAUGCGUAGAGAUUGGGAGGAACACCAGUGGCGAAGGCGACUUACUGGACUGUGACUGACGCUGAGGCGCGAAAGUGUGGGGAGCAAACAGGAUUAGAUACCCUGGUAGUCCACACUGUAAACGAUGAAUGCUAGGUGUAAGAGGUAUCGACCCCUUUUGUGCCGGAGUCAACACAAUAAGCAUUCCGCCUGGGGAGUACGGCCGCAAGGUUGAAACUCAAAGGAAUUGACGGGG